UACAGAGGUCCCAAGCGUUGUUCGGAUUCACUGGGCGUAAAGGGUGCGUAGGUGGCCGGGUAAGUCUGACGUGAAAUCUCCAAGCUCAACUUGGAAACUGCAUCGGAUACUAUCCGGCUCGAGGAUCGGAGGGGAGACUGGAAUUCCUGGUGUAGCGGUGGAAUGCGCAGAUAUCAGGAGGAACACCGGUGGCGAAGGCGGGUCUCUGGGCAGUAACUGACGCUGAGGCGCGAAAGCUAGGGGAGCAAACGGG
rnacentral:rRNA from 1 species